UAUUAAAUGAAACAAGGUUAACAUAAAAUAAAACAAGGUUUUAAGCAACAAAACUUCACAAAAUAUUAUUAUAAUUUCUUCACACCAAAAAUUAACAGAAACUUUGUCGGUUGUCGUAACUCCACGACAUCUCUCCCCAUACAGACAACUCGGCCGAAACAGACAGCGAACACUCCAACCAACCUCCACUGCACCAGUAAGUGCAACAUUUCAUUCCUUACAAAUUAACUACAAGACUAAUAGCUUACAAAGUAAUAUUUAACAAUAACCACUUAUCUCAUUUUUCAUCGUCUUGAACGUGUAGCCAGGUAAGAUGUUAAUCUUAGUCAAGUUUGCUGUUAUAUAGGAAGAAGUCGAGAUGACAGACUGGAGACAAGAGUGAAGCUGCCACUGCAUUCAUCAUGCAAAUAUGUCAAUUCACUGAUUUUUUACAUACUUUAUACAAAUCAUUUAUAUACACAGAUCAUGUCUAAAGCAUCAACACCCAUGUAUAUAAGCUCAUCAGCUCGGAAAAUUCAUCUUUGCCAUUAUUCACUGAAAUUCUUCUGCCUUGAAUCAUUGUAUUUUGUUGAGUUGUUGUCAUUAUAUGCCAUUUUCAUCAUUAUUGUUAUUUUUAUUGAUAUAUUAUGCAGACCAUGGAAUGGUGUCAUUUGGAAUUCACCAAAUUCUGUAGUGUGAUUUUAAAUUAGUCAACUAAAUUUUACUAAUCAUUAAGAUUUUGUUAUGGAAACUCCUGGUCAUAGACUGGAUGACAAAGAUAAGAGUCUUCAAGCUUAAGGCAACAUGAUCAUCAUUGUUGCCAACUCUCGUGUCAAACAUUAAGUCAAUGGGUUUGGAUGUUCUGGUCUCAAACAUCAUAGUUUGACUUUGCUGAUGUUUUGUCUCAUCCUGCUCCUUUUUCUUCAAAAUAAUGGUGGUGAUAUUUAAAAAGGGGGGGAACAUCUGUUCUAGUUUCUUUGUAGUUUAUGAAAUUGUUUACUUUGUCUAUUUAAUGAAAUGUGGAUAACUAAUUUUUAGACUAUAUACACGAGUCUACUGUGAAAACACACAAUCUAUGAAAACAAACUGUUGAAAUAAAAAAUAUUUAGUAUUAUA
rnacentral:lncRNA from 1 species